GAUGAACGCUAGCGGCAGGCCUAACACAUGCAAGUCGAGGGGUAACUAGAGUGAUAGCAAUAUUACUUUGGCUAGACCGGCGCACGGGUGCGUAACACGUAUGCAACCUACCUUAUACUGGGGAAUAACUUCGAGAAAUCGGCGCUAAUACCCCAUAACAUUGCGAAGAGGCAUCUCUUUGCAAUUAAAGCUCCGGCGGUAUAAGAUGGGCAUGCGUCCAAUUAGCUAGUUGGUGAGGUAACGGCUCACCAAGGCUACGAUUGGUAGGGGUUCUGCGAGGAUGAUCCCCCACACUGGUACUGAGACACGGACCAGACUCCUACGGGAGGCAGCAGUGAGGAAUAUUGCGCUAUGGACGAAAGUCUGACGCAGCCAUGCCGCGUGCAGGAUGACGGCCCUAUGGGUUGUAAACUGCUUUUGUACGGGAAUAAACCCUUCUACGUGUAGGAGGCUGAAGGUACCGUAAGAAUAAGCACCGGCUAACUCCGUGCCAGCCGCCGCUGUAA
rnacentral:rRNA from 1 species